CGUAGGGUGCGAGCGUUAAUCGGAAUUACUGGGCGUAAAGUGUGCGCAGGUGGCCGCGCAUGUCGAGUGUGAAAUCCCCGGGCUUAACUUGGGAAUUGCGCUCGAAACUACGUGGCUAGAGUGUGGCAGAGGAAGGUGGAAUUCCACGUGUAGCGGUGAAAUGCGUAGAGAUGUGGAGGAACACCGAUGGCGAAGGCAGCCUUCUGGGCCAACACUGACGCUCAUGCACGAUAGCGUGGGGAGCAAACAGGAUUAGAUACCCUGGUAGUCCACGCCCUAAACGAUGAUGACUAGUUGUUGGAGGAGUUAAAUCCUUUAGUAACGCAGCUAACGCGUGAAGUCAUCCGCCUGGGGAGUACGGUCGCAAGAUUA
rnacentral:rRNA from 1 species